AUCUCCCAGACAAUCAAUGCGGACUUUCUUCUGAACCUUAAGCUCGUCGAUAUUCCGCAGCUUUUUGGUAUCCCUUUAGACAUGGAUGUAGAGA
rnacentral:ribozyme from 1 species